GUACUGAUGAAGAGUCCCACAGAGCUUGGACGAAACAGCUGUCAAGUAC
rnacentral:hammerhead_ribozyme from 1 species